CGGUGAAUACGUUCCCGGGCCUUGUACACACCGCCCGUCAAACAAUGGAAGUUGAGGGUAUUUAAAGUCGGUAGCUGCGAGGCGCCGCCUAGGGUAAACUUGAUAACUGGUGUU
rnacentral:rRNA from 1 species